rnacentral:rRNA from 1 species
UACGUAGGGCGCAAGCGUUAUCCGGAAUUAUUGGGCGUAAAGAGCUCGUAGGCGGUUUGUCGCGUCUGCUGUGAAAUCCCGAGGCUCAACCUCGGGUCUGCAGUGGGUACGGGCAGACUGGAGUGCGGUAGGGGGAGAAUGGAAUUCCUGGUGUAGCGGUGGAAUGCGCAGAUAUCAGGAGGAACACCGAUGGCGAAGGCAGUUCUCUGGGCCGUAACUGACGCUGAGGAGCGAAAGCGUGGGGAGCGAACAGG